rnacentral:rRNA from 1 species
AGCCAGACUCCUACGGGAGGCAGCAGUGGGGGAUAUUGCACAAUGGGGGGAACCCUGAUGCAGCGACCCCGCGUGAGUGAAGAAGUAUUUCGGUAUGUAAAGCCCUAUCAGCAGGGAAGAAGAAAUGACGGUACCUGAGUAAGAAGCACCGGCUAAAUACGUGCCAGCAGCCGCGGUAAUACGUAUGGUGCAAGCGUUAUCCGGAUUUACUGGGUGUAAAGGGAGCGCAGGCGGCACGGCAAGCCUGAUGUGAAAGCCCGCGGCCCAACCGCGGGACUGCAUUGGGAACUACCGGGCUGGAGUGCCGGAGAGGUAGGCGGAAUUCCUAGUGUAGCGGUGAAAUGCGUAGAUAUUAGGAGGAACACCAGUGGCGAAGGCGGCCUGCUGGACGAUGACUGACGUUGAGGCUCGAAAGCGUGGGGAGCAAACAGGAUUAGAUACCCUCGUAU